rnacentral:rRNA from 1 species
GACGAACGCUGGCGGCGUGCCUAAUACAUGCAAGUUGAGCGCUGAAGGUUGGUCCUUGUACCAACUGGAUGAGCAGCGAACGGGUGAGUAACGCGUGGGGAAUCUGCCUUUGAGCGGGGGACAACAUUUGGAAACGAAUGCUAAUACCGCAUAAAAACUUUAAACACAAGUUUUAAGUUUGAAAGAUGCAAUUGCAUCACUCAAAGAUGAUCCCGCGUUGUAUUAGCUAGUUGGUGAGGUAAAGGCUCACCAAGGCGAUGAUACAUAGCCGACCUGAGAGGGUGAUCGGACACAUUGGGACUGAGACACGGCCCAAACUCCUACGGGAGGCAGCAGUAGGGAAUCUUCGGCAAUGGACGAAAGUCUGACCGAGCAACGCCGCGUGAGUGAAGAAGGUUUUCGGAUCGUAAAACUCUGUUGGUAGAGAAGAACGUUGGUGAGAGUGGAAAGCUCAUCAAGUGACGGUAACUACCCAGAAAGGGACGGCUAACUACGUG